UACAGAGGGGGCAAGCGUUGUUCGGAAUUACUGGGCGUAAAGGGCGCGUAGGCGGCCUUCUAAGUCGAACGUGAAAUCCCCGGGCUCAACCCGGGAACUGCGUCCGAUACUGGAAGGCUAGAAUCCGGGAGAGGGAUGCGGAAUUCCAGGUGUAGCGGUGAAAUGCGUAGAUAUCUGGAGGAACACCGGUGGCGAAGGCGGCGUUCUGGACUGCAACUGACACUGAGAAACGAAAGCCAGGGUAGCAAACGGG
rnacentral:rRNA from 1 species